GAGCUGGGAUCUCAGGAGGCAGCGCUCUCAGGACAUCUCCACCAUGGCCCGGGCUCUGCUCCUCCUCACCCUCCUCACUCAGGGCACAGGGUCCUGGGCUCAGUCUGCCCUGACUCAGCCUCCCUCUGUGUCCGGGUCUCCUGGACAGUCGGUCACCAUCUCCUGCACUGGAACCAGCAGUGACAUUGGUGGUUAUGACCGUGUCUCCUGGUACCAACAGCACCCAGGCACAGCCCCCAGACUCCUGAUUUAUGAUGUCAGUAAGCGGCCCUCAGGGAUCUCUGAUCGCUUCUCUGGCUCCAAGUCUGGCAACACGGCCUCCCUGACCAUCUCUGGGCUCCAGGCUGAGGACGAGGCUGAUUAUUACUGCUGCUCAUAUAGGAGUGGAAGCACUUUCCACAGUGGUCCAAGUUCAUGGGGAACUGAGACCAAAACCUAUCCUGGGCUCUCAGGCUCCCUUUCUGCUCUGAAGAUGCUUCCUCACCCAGUGCAAGGGGCUUUCUGCAGCAUGACCUUCAAAAUUCUUCUCUCUCAGCUCCUCUCCUUUCCCACCAUGAAAUCCAAAAGGAAACCUGCCCUGUGGUUUCUCAUUUAGGACAGGGACAGCUUCCUGAUGCAUGUGUGCUGUGGUCCCUGAAUGUGCAACUCUUCCUAGCUCUUCAAAUACAGGGACAGUGACAAGGAGCUGCCUGAUUGAUGUAGUCACUGAUUUUUUGGGGAUGUCUUCACCCUAAAUACAUCACCAUCUCCCACACCGUGGGUAGAAUUUUAGCCAACUACAUUCUAAUGGUUAUCGCCACAACUUUGAUCUUAGAAACAACAGUGCAGCGAACAUCCCUAUGCAGCCUCCUUUGCGUUCCUGUGUGAAUAUGACGAUAUGAUCUGAAAGUGACGAUAUUUCUGAAAGUGAAAUUGCGGAUCAGAAAGAUGUGUGCUUGUAAUUUUCACCGGUUGUUGUCAGAUUCACCGCCAGAGAGAUCUACCAAUUUUCAAUGCCAGCCAUAAGUGCUUACUCAGAGUAUAUUGUUGAAAGUGUAAAUUUUUGCAAACAUAUCAAACUGAAAAAUGUUACCUUUUUACAGUUUUAUUUUUGAGUCUCCUGUUCUGCCUAAGAUUGGGCCUUUUCAGAAAUAGUUCAUUACUUUUUCUUUUUUGCAUUUGUUAAACUUUUUCUUAAAUAUCGAGAUAAGAAGAAUUUUAGUCUUUGUAGCCAGGCACUAUGGCUCACGCCUGUAAUCCCGAGCACUUUGGAGGGGUAAGACGGGUGAAUUGCUUGAUCCCAGGAAUUUGAGAUUAGU